rnacentral:rRNA from 1 species
GGACGAACGCUGGCGGCGUGCUUAACACAUGCAAGUCGAACGGAAAGGCCCUGCUUUUGUGGGGUGCUCGAGUGGCGAACGGAUGAGUAACACGUGAGUAACCUGCCCUUGACUUUGGGAUAACUUCAGGAAACUGGGGCUAAUACCGGAUAGGAGCUCCUGCUGCAUGGUGGGGGUUGGAAAGUUUCGGCGGUUGGGGAUGGACUCGCGGCUUAUCAGCUUGUUGGUGGGGUAGUGGCUUACCAAGGCUUUGACGGGUAGCCGGCCUGAGAGGGUGACCGGCCACAUUGGGACUGAGAUACGGCCCAGACUCCUACGGGAGGCAGCAGUGGGGAAUAUUGCACAAUGGGCGGAAGCCUGAUGCAGCAACGCCGCGUGCGGGAUGACGGCCUUCGGGUUGUAAACCGCUUUCGCCUGUGACGAAGCGUGAGUGACGGUAAUGGGUAAAGAAGCACCGGCUAACUACGCG